rnacentral:rRNA from 1 species
CAAUUUAAACAACGAAGAGUUUGAUCCUGGCUCAGGAUGAACGCUAGCGACAGGCUUAACACAUGCAAGUCGAGGGGCAGCACAGGUAGCAAUACCGGGUGGCGACCGGCGCACGGGUGAGUAACGCGUAUGCAACUUGCCUAUCAGAGGGGGAUAACCCGGCGAAAGUCGGACUAAUACCGCAUGAAGCAGGGAUCCCGCAUGGGAAUAUUUGCUAAAGAUUCAUCGCUGAUAGAUAGGCAUGCGUUCCAUUAGGCAGUUGGCGGGGUAACGGCCCACCAAACCGACGAUGGAUAGGGGUUCUGAGAGGAAGGUCCCCCACAUUGGUACUGAGACACGGACCAAACUCCUACGGGAGGCAGCAGUGAGGAAUAUUGGUCAAUGGCCGAGAGGCUGAACCAGCCAAGUCGCGUGAGGGAUGAAGGUUCUAUGGAUCGUAAACCUCUUUUAUAAGGGAAUAAAGUGCGGGACGUGUCCCGUUUUGUAUGUACCUUAUGAAUAAGGAUCGGCUAACUCCGUGCCAGCAGCCGCGGUAAUACGGAGGAUCCGAGCGUUAUCCGGAUUUAUUGGGUUUAAAGGGUGCGUAGGCGGCCUUUUAAGUCAGCGGUGAAAGUCUGUGGCUCAACCAUAGAAUUGCCGUUGAAACUGGGGGGCUUGAGUAUGUUUGAGGCAGGCGGAAUGCGUGGUGUAGCGGUGAAAUGCAUAGAUAUCACGCAGAACCCCGAUUGCGAAGGCAGCCUGCCAAGCCAUUACUGACGCUGAUGCACGAAAGCGUGGGGAUCAAACAGGAUUAGAUACCCUGGUAGUCCACGCAGUAAACGAUGAUCACUAGCUGUUUGCGAUACAGUGUAAGCGGCACAGCGAAAGCGUUAAGUGAUCCACCUGGGGAGUACGCCGGCAACGGUGAAACUCAAAGGAAUUGACGGGGGCCCGCACAAGCGGAGGAACAUGUGGUUUAAUUCGAUGAUACGCGAGGAACCUUACCCGGGUUUGAACGCAUUCGGACCGAGGUGGAAACACCUUUUCUAGCAAUAGCCGUUUGCGAGGUGCUGCAUGGUUGUCGUCAGCUCGUGCCGUGAGGUGUCGGCUUAAGUGCCAUAACGAGCGCAACCCUUGCCACUAGUUACUAACAGGUGAUGCUGAGGACUCUGGUGGGACUGCCAGCGUAAGCUGCGAGGAAGGCGGGGAUGACGUCAAAUCAGCACGGCCCUUACAUCCGGGGCGACACACGUGUUACAAUGGCGUGGACAAAGGGAGGCCACCUGGCGACAGGGAGCGAAUCCCCAAACCACGUCUCAGUUCGGAUCGGAGUCUGCAACCCGACUCCGUGAAGCUGGAUUCGCUAGUAAUCGCGCAUCAGCCAUGGCGCGGUGAAUACGUUCCCGGGCCUUGUACACACCGCCCGUCAAGCCAUGGGAGCCGGGGGUACCUGAAGUCCGUAACCGAAAGGAUCGGCCUAGGGUAAAACUGGUGACUGGGGCUAAGUCGUAACAAGGUAGCCGUACCGGAAGGUGCGGCUGGAACACCUCCUUUCU